CGAGUGCAAAGAUGACCAAUGAGAAAAGUGAGUAUUUAAUUAAACGAUACAGAAAUCUCUAUAUCCUUACUGUGUAAGUUCCAUGAAGCUUAAAAUAUUUAAAUUGGCUUCAAUAGUGCCCUUAGAACUUUUUGACUAUACUUUGAUGCAACGGAUCAAUGUUGCUACUUUCGCAUGUUUUCGACAGUGAUGGUAUAAUUAAUCUUAUUGGGACAUGUCUAGAAAAGCAGUUGAUCUAAAACUGAUAAG
rnacentral:lncRNA from 1 species